UACGGAGGGGGCUAGCGUUGUUCGGAAUUACUGGGCGUAAAGCGCACGUAGGCGGCUUUGUAAGUCGGGGGUGAAAGCCUGUGGCUCAACCACAGAAUUGCCUUCGAUACUGCAUGGCUUGAGACCGGAAGAGGUUAGUGGAACUGCGAGUGUAGAGGUGAAAUUCGUAGAUAUUCGCAAGAACACCAGUGGCGAAGGCGGCUGACUGGUCCGGUCCUGACGCUGAGGCGCGAAAGCGUGGGGAGCAAACAGG
rnacentral:rRNA from 1 species